rnacentral:rRNA from 1 species
UACGUAGGGGGCGAGCGUUAUCCGGAGUUACUGGGCGUAAAGCGCACGCAGGCGGUGCUGCAAGUCUGGGGUUACAGCUCCCGGCUCAACUGGGAGAGCGCCUUGAAGACUGCAGGACUUGAGGGCCAAAGAGGGACACAGAAUUCCGGGUGUAGUGGUGAAAUGCGUAGAUAUCCGGAGGAAUACCAAAGGCGAAGGCAGUGUCCUGGGUGGUACCUGACGCUCAGGUGCGAAAGCUAGGGGAGCGAACGG